CGCCGCCGCCUGCCCGCCCGCCCUCGCUCGCUCGCGGUCCCCGCCCGCCGCCCUCGGUCGGUUCUCUCGUUAGUCCGCCGUUGCCUCGGGAGCUGCCCGUCCUUGUCUCUGCGGUUGCGACUCGUGGAUAGGCGUCCCCGGCGCGAAGAGGCUGAUCUCGGAGUCGUCGCCUGAGCCUUUCAUCUAAGAAGUUCAAGGUACUUUGUACAACCUCUUGUCACUCAAGCCUUGCCUUUUGCAGCACAUUUGUAAGGUUUGAACUCACUACAUAGCCCAAGCUGGCCUCAAACUGGAAAUCCUUCUGCUUUAGCAUCUUGAGUACUGGGAUCAUAGUCAUACAUCACCAUGUGCAGUUGAAGUUUCUUAAUUGAUAAUGUAAGUAUCAUUUGGCCACUUUCUCUUGUUCUCCUUGGGUCUGAAUACAUUCUGUAUAUAGAAAAGUGAACUUAAGGUGAGUGCCUGUGGCUCACACCUGGUAAUCUAGCUACUUAGGAGGCAGAGCAUCGUGGUUCUAGAGAUCCUAUCUUGAACGUACCCAACACAAAUGGGCUGGCAGAGUGCCUCCCUAGCAAACCUAGCAUGCAUGAGGCCCUGAGUUUAAGCCCUAGUUCCAGUAAAAAUAAAGGGCAGUCACCACAUAUACACAAGUGAACAUUUGUAGAAGAGAGGGAUAAAAGUAUAAAUUUUUAUUUUCUGAAGCUCCUAGCUGUGCUUGUACAAGGA